GCCGGUGUGAUGGAAUUGGCAGACGUGCCGGACUCAAAAUCCGGUGGUGGAGACACCGUACCGGUUCGACCCCGGUCACCGGCACCA
rnacentral:tRNA from 1 species